UACGGAGGGAGCUAGCGUUAUUCGGAAUUACUGGGCGUAAAGCGCACGUAGGCGGCUUUGUAAGUCAGAGGUGAAAGCCUGGAGCUCAACUCCAGAACUGCCUUUGAGACUGCAUCGCUUGAAUCCAGGAGAGGUGAGUGGAAUUCCGAGUGUAGAGGUGAAAUUCGGUAGAUAUUCGGAAGGAACACCAGUGGCGUAAGGCGGCUCACUGGACUGGUAUUGA
rnacentral:rRNA from 1 species